UACGUAGGUGACGAGCGUUGUCCGGAUUUACUGGGCGUAAAGGGCGCGUAGGCGGCCAUUCAAGUCGGGGGUGAAAGCCUGUGGCUCAACCACAGAAUUGCCUUCGAUACUGUUUGGCUUGAGUAUGGUAGAGGUCAGUGGAACUGCGAGUGUAGAGGUGAAAUUCGUAGAUAUUCGCAAGAACACCAGUGGCGAAGGCGGCUGACUGGACCAUUACUGACGCUGAGGCGCGAAAGCGUGGGGAGCAAACAGG
rnacentral:rRNA from 1 species